rnacentral:lncRNA from 1 species
GAGGGAUGAGCAAAAUCAGAUGCUAUUGAUAUGAUGAGUUGGGACGUCAAGUCAGAGAUUGUAUGCAGCUCAAAGAUCAAAUGAAGGCAACUGUGGUGAUGGCAAGUAGUGAUACAGAAGAUAGUGAUGUUCUUCUAGUAUCAGAUGAGGUAUCUACUUCUUCUCCCUAGUGAAUUUUGGGUUCUGCAUGUUUGCAUCAUAUAUAUUGUAAAGAGGACCCG